rnacentral:rRNA from 1 species
GAUUAACGCUGGCGGCGUGCAUAACACAUGCAAGUCGAACGAAGUGGCGGACGGGUGAGUAACGCGUGAGUAACCUGCCUUAGAGAAGGGGAUAGCCUUUGGAAACGAAGAAUAAUACCCUAUGGUCUAAGAGGUACUUGCGUCUGAUUAGUUAGUUGGUGGGGUAACGGCCCACCAAGACAGCGAUCAGUAACCGGCUGGAGUGAUUGUACGGCCACAUUUGGACUGAGACACGGCCCAGACUCUACGGGAGGCAGCAGUGGGGAAUUUUGCACAAUUGGGGAAACCCUGAUGCAGCGACGCCGCGUGAUUUAGAAGGCCUUCGUGUUGUAAAAAUCUUUUCUAUGGGAAUCAGUACCAUAGGAAUAAGGACCGGCUAAUUACGUGCCAGCAGCCGCGGUAAUAC